rnacentral:lncRNA from 1 species
GGCUUAAAAUCUCCCCAUGUGAGGGGAUGUGUUUCCUUCAGCCUCUGCUGUCUGGCCGCUCUGUCUAGGUCCUGGGCCACGGGAGAGCCCCGUCCCUCCUUUCUGAAGCCCCCUGACUUGGGCCUCAGUGUCCCCGAAGAUCAUGAUGGCGUAUAUGAACCCGGGGCCCCACUAUUCUGUCAACGCCUUGGCCCUAAGUGGCCCCAGUGUGGAUCUGAUGCACCAGGCUGUGCCCUACCCAACGCCCCCAGGAAGCAGCGGCGGGAGCGCACCACCUUCACCCGGAGCCAACUGGAGGAGCUGGA